UAUGGGAGGCAGCAGUGGGGAAUAUUGGACAAUGGGCGAAAGCCUGAUCCAGCAAUGCCGCGUGAGUGAUGAAGGCCUUAGGGUUGUAAAGCUCUUUUACCAGGGAUGAUAAUGACAGUACCUGGAGAAUAAGCUCCGGCUAACUUCGUGCCAGCAGCCGCGGUAAUACGGAGGGAGCUAGCGUUGUUUGGAAUUACUGGGCGUAAAGAGUACGUAGGCGGUGAUUCAAGUCAGAGGUGAAAACCUGGAGCUCAACUCCAGAACUGCCUUUGAAACUAGAUCGCUAGAAUUAUGGAGAGGUUAGUGGAAUUCCGAGUGUAGAGGUGAAAUUAGUAGAUAUUCGGAAGAACACCAGUGGCGAAGGCGACUAACUGGACAUAUAUUGACGCUGAGGUACGAAAGCGUGGGGAGCAAACAGGAUUAGAUACCCUGGUAGUCCACCCCGUAAACGAUGAUAACUAGCUGUUCGGGGUCUACGAUCCUCAGUGGCGCAGCUAACGCAUAAGUAU
rnacentral:rRNA from 1 species